ACUAACUAAACACUAAAUCACACACGUAUCGACACAUUCUUCGGGGUGCCUUUUUAGGUCGAAGACAUGGGAUGCGUGGAGGUCUAAC
rnacentral:sRNA from 1 species